rnacentral:rRNA from 1 species
UGGCUGUCGUCAGCUCGUGUCGUGAGAUGUUGGGUUAAGUCCCGUAACGAGCGCAACCCUUGUCCUUAGUUACCAGCACGUAAUGGUGGGCACUCUAAGGAGACUGCCGGUGACAAACCGGAGGAAGGUGGGGAUGACGUCAAGUCAUCAUGGCCCUUACGGCCUGGGCUACACACGUGCUACAAUGGUCGGUACAGAGGGUUGCCAAGCCGCGAGGUGGAGCUAAUCCCACAAAACCGAUCGUAGUCCGGAUCGCAGUCUGCAACUCGACUGCGUGAAGUCGGAAUCGCUAGUAAUCGCGAAUCAGAAUGUCGCGGGUGAAUACGUUCCCGGGUCUUGUACACACGCAU